GCUCCCGUCGUUCAAUGGAUAGGACGCAUCCUUGCGGAGGAUGUAAUGUAGGUUCGAUUCCUACCGGGAGCA
rnacentral:tRNA from 1 species